UACGAAGGACCCAAGCGUUAUCCGGAUUUAUUGGGUUUAAAGGGUGCGUAGGCGGGUUAUUAAGUCAGUGGUGAAAGCCUGCAGCUUAACUGCAGAACUGCCAUUGAUACUGAUGAUCUUGAGUAUGAUUGAGGUGGGCGGAAUGUGUCAUGUAGCGGUGAAAUGCUUAGAUAUGACACAGAACACCGAUUGCGGAAGGCAGCGUCACCUAACGA
rnacentral:rRNA from 1 species